UAUGUCUUGAAAUAGAAUUUAGAAAUGUUCGAACUGCUAAAAAAUAUUACCACUUUGCACUAUGAUGAUUAAACAAGAUGUUAUAAGAGACUAUAAAUUUUUUUUAUCCUUCUGCUUACACAUGCAAAUUUACGAGGCAGAAAGAUAAGCAACUUAGAAUACGUUCUACUAGCAGACUGGCAGAUAUGGUCAGUUCAAAGUACUGGUGGUUUGCCUACUUUCACUACUUCGCCAUUUUUUUCUUUUUGGCACCUUUUCCUUGCCACCCCCCCAACGACUAUUUUUGGUGUCUGACAUCAUGAUGCCAGUGUGAGAAGUUUGUGUAUUUGCGGAUAGUGUCACGCGGGCCGGAGCUGGUGGGAGCGUGCCUCCUCAUAUUUAGAUGGUUUAAAACAGCCGACCAAUGAACAUCGUUGAUGUGGCGUGAUCGCGAUUUUGUUCGUAGACAAAAAAAAAUUAUGCAGACAGAAUUCGUAGAGAUAAAUUCUUUAAGUGUGAUGAUUACGAGAAAAUAAUUUGCAAAUCACUGGCAUAAGGCCGUAUUGAAAGAUUCUUUGUCUAAUUCUAAACUAUUAUCUAACUAAUUCACUAGAUAUUUCUCGAGAUUGUUCGUUGUGCUGGACAAGCUUUUAUACCUGCUGACCUGACUGGCGCAUAUAUUCUCUAGCAGGAUGGCCCUUCUACUUUACAACAAGAUGUCUGGUGGUGUAAUCUGGAACAGAUAACUUCACUUUCGGGAUACAAAUACACAAUACAAAAGAAGAAAAAAGAACUGGUUUUUUCUGGGAAAAACGAGAACCAUGAACUAAAAUAUAUACCGAGAAGAGUGGUAAUCAUUCAAAAUGAGGAUUAUUGCUAUCCACAAUAUACAUGUACAAAAUAAUUACUCAAUCUUCCA